UUCUUCCUUUCUUCUUUCUAAUGUUUUAAUGGUAUUACCCCAAAUAGCACAGCCAAUUGAGAGUAAAAUCAAAGCUGCAGUGCUUGAUAGUUUUUUUUAUAUGUCCAGAAUAACCUUUCAGCCUAUGUCCACACUAAUUCUGUUUAAAUUUACAUCUUUUGCUGUGAUUACACCUGGUGUCCACACUACCUUAACAAGAUUAAAGAUUAACAAGUAUAGAAACUCUGAAUCUGUAUUGUGGUGGGGACAGGUGAUAACACACAAUGCAGGUAUUAUUCCAUUAGUCUCCUGUCAUUCCCAUGUCCAGUAUUGUUAUCAUGUAAUCUGCAUUUCAUUUGUGUAAGACUGUCUGGACAUUUUUUAGAUUAGAUAGAACUUUAUUGAUCCCUUAGGCAGAGUCCAUGGAAAAUUAAAGUUGCAGUAGUGGCACAACAUUGAAUGUACAGAUAUAAGAAGAAUUGAAAAAGAAAAAAAUAACUGUAACCAUAAAAGCAGUUGUCAAAACAGGCAAUGGCACAUUGCAAGUACUAGUAGCAAUAAAUAAUAUAGUAAUAAUAAUAAUAAAUAGUAAUGUUCUUAUUAUAAAUGUAUAACUUAUCAUAGAAAUAAUAAUCAUAGUAAUAGCAGUCAUAACAACAAUAUAAGUAAUAAGUAAUGUAAGUAUUUAAGAAGUAAUAAUAGUAAUAACAGUAAUAAUCAUCAUCACUAAGAAAACUAAAUUAACAACAAACAUUGAAAACUGGUUUAGCAAAGUUUUCUGAAGCUUUGAUUAACUGUACUGUGAAGAUUGUUUUAAUUGUAAUCAGUUGGUU